GCUGGACACAUGACUACCAAGAACCUGCUCUCUCUUUUCUUACAGAGAGCAGACAGUCCUUAGCGGGGCAAGCCUACAGCCCUGGUGGCCCCUCACUGCCCCAGGCUGAAGGACAGGUGCCUGUGGACAUGGCCUAGCUCACCAAUGGCAGGAGAGAGAAGCUGGGUUACCAGAGACUUCCUAGGUGCCGUGAUGGCUGUGAGCAAGAAGGGAUCCAGGAGAGAGAAGGCACUGGUGGGGACCACACAGCUUAAGACCAACUAGCCUUGGCCAUCGAGUCCUGGUUGCAGAAGAGAAUAUGGGGCCUGGAUGACCGCUGGAGGAAGAGACAAGACCUUGGGGUGCUCACACCACCUCUGGGAAGUACAUCCAGGCGCACAAUUCUGGGAAUUUUCAAGACCAUUUGUACAGAGGACUCACUUGGACUCAUACCAACCCCAGCUAUGUGGCAAUUCUGUCCCAUGUACAAGGUUACUGUGAACCAGAAGUUCCCUCGGAGCUGAAAGGCUCUUCACUUGUUAACACCACAGAGGUACCCUGCUCUUCUGGUGUCUACAGUCUUAAAGCAUUGCCACUUAGAAAGCCACUUCUAUUCCUGAACUGUGCCUCAAAUUCCGGGCUACGAACCUGACCACCAUCAGAGAUCUCUUCUGGAAACAGUUGAUACCUAGCCUAGCUCUCCUCCCAACCAGGGGACAACAGUGUCAGCAUCCCUCUACUCUGACCAUAGGCCCUGACACAGCCUUUCUGUUCAAGGCCAGAUGCAGGGUACCACUGGUCCUCUGCCCUUUUGGUUUUGCCCCUGAAGAACAGGGCAGACACAGCUCAUUACUUAAACCACUGUUUACAGAACAGACUAUGUGGUGUACUGACCUAGAUCAUACAUUGCUAUCCAAGUAUUUCCUCCCCAAACCUACCAUGUCAACGGACAUCCAGGUGGGAACCCCUGAAACCUUAGGAUGGACCCAGCAUGACAUGCAGAGUAGCCCUGAGUGCUGGUCCCAACCCCCCAAGUCCUAUUGCUGUCUCUGCAGUUCCAAUUCCAGGCUCAGCAUUCAUUCUGAGGAUUAUUAAAGGGGAGAUCCUGCAUCUCACUGGUCUGUGGGAACAGUACAGGGGCUGAUCCAGUGCUGCGGUGGCCAGGCAUGGAGGGUGAUGCCAGCGCAGAGAGAAUGAGUGCAGCCAGCAAGAGCAAAAGGUUCCUGGCUGUAGGCGUGUGGGUCUGCCCUGCUUUAUGCUCCUACCACAGACCCAAAGUCAUGGGGCUAACCACCCAGGGGCUGGAACCAUAGCCUGAGCCAAAAGCAACCUGUUCUCUUUACAAGGUGAUUGAUUAUCUGAGCCAUUUGCUGGACUAACAGCUGCCUAGCAUACACAUACCAGUGUUUUACAUGAAGUUGCCUUUCAAGGAGUCAGCCAUUGACACCCC
rnacentral:lncRNA from 1 species